AUCUCUGAACUGUGCUGCUUCCACCUGCCCGAGCCAUUAAGCAGAUGACCCUAGCGUCUGGGAAGCAUAAACAUUACCUGCAAUAAAACCAAGGGGAGAAUAAGCUAUAAAGUAAUGCAUUUUCACAGCAACAGCUCCUAGGGGGAGGAAAGGGCUCCAAGAAAAGCAGCAGACUAUUUUUCAUAGCGUGGCUUUCUCUCCGCUGCUCCUGUCUUCACCCACCCUCGCUCAGGCAGAACACCACACUGGAGGUGAAGAAGAACAGCAGGGUGAAGAGAAGUUACGCCAAUCCAAAAUCAGAAAAUUUGCCUCUGUCUGUGAGUUAGAGCUGGUUACCUGGGGAAGCACAUUUAUCUCUGCGUCCUCAGUACAGUACAUCUCAAUGACAGCACUUUUAAUAACCAAUUGAUGUGUAAUUGCCUGCAUAAAUUAUGCAUCUCUUGUCCAGCGCCAGCUCUGGUGCACUGAGUGAAUGAUGGAGAAAAAGCUCCUCUCAGGACUGGGAUGUGGCUGGUGUGAUGCGAUUGCAGGGCCCUUCGGGGAGUUUCAAAG
rnacentral:lncRNA from 1 species